UACGUAGGGAGCAAGCGUUGUCCGGAAUCAUUGGGCGUAAAGCGCGCGUAGGUGGCUUCGUAAGUCCGUUGUGAAAGUCAAAGGCUCAACCUUUGAAAGCCGAUGGAUACUGUGGAGCUAGAGUACGGAAGAGGCGAGUGGAAUUCCUGGUGUAGCGGUGGAAUGCGCAGAUAUCAGGAGGAACACCAAUAGCGAAGGCAGCUCGCUGGGACGUUACUGACACCUGAGGCGCGAAAGCGUGGGGAGCGAACAGG
rnacentral:rRNA from 1 species